CCUACGGGAGGCAGCAGUGAGGAAUAUUGGACAAUGGGCGCAAGCCUGAUCCAGCCAUGCCGCGUGCAGGAUGACGGUCCUAUGGAUUGUAAACUGCUUUUAUACGAGAAGAAACACUACUUCGUGAAGUAGCUUGACGGUAUCGUAAGAAUAAGGAUCGGCUAACUCCGUGCCAGCAGCCGCGGUAAUACGGAGGAUCCAAGCGUUAUCCGGAAUCAUUGGGUUUAAAGGGUCCGUAGGCGGUUUAAUAAGUCAGUGGUGAAAGCCCAUCGCUCAACGGUGAACGGCCAUUGAUACUGUUAGACUUGAAUUAUUAGGAAGUAACUAGAAUAUGUAGUGUAGCGGUGAAAUGCUUAGAGAUUACAUGGAAUACCAAUUGCGAAGGCAGGUUACUACUAAUAUAUUGACGCUGAUGGACGAAAGCGUGGGUAGCGAACAGGAUUAGAUACCCUGGUAGUCCACGCCGUAAACGAUGGAUACUAGCUGUUAGGAAGCUAAUUUCAGGUGGNGUAGACGAAGUAGAGUAAGUAAGUACCGACCGUACGGGUAGGUUAACGGUUCGUCGAAGAAGUAGUUAAACGUUACGAAAGGAAGUUAGACGGCGUUGAGACGNGCGACGGACGACGACGAGGGAGGAGG
rnacentral:rRNA from 1 species